UAGUAUUGUCGGUUUGGAUCU
rnacentral:misc_RNA from 1 species